CCAUCUACAACUGCAGGACCCGUCAAAGAGGGUUUGGGGUGGCAGAGUCAGCAGUUGUUGACUGAAAGGUUAAUAUGUGACAGAAGGAUAUUCAGGUGUGGGAGGCUUUCCCCAUACUUAAAAAACAUCCUACAAGCUUGUUACUGCAGGAUGAAAGAGAGUUUUAUCUUAAUACAGAGGAGGCUUUUUUUUAUGUGGAAGAGUCCACGCUAGGGUUUAGUGUGGUGUCUUUCCACCAAAAUGCUAUGAAGCAACUAUCCGGAUUAAGAACUUAUAAAAUGCUAGAAAACUCGGAACCUAUUCCUUAGUACAAAAAGGUCUUACAUU
rnacentral:lncRNA from 1 species